CAGUCGCCGCGGUAAUACGAGGGGGGCAAGCGUUGUUCGGAAUUAUUGGGCGUAAAGGGUGCGUAGGCGGUUUGGCAAGUUUGGUGUGAAAUCUUCGGGCUCAACUCGAAGUCUGCAUCGAAAACUGCCGGGCUUGAGUAUGGGAGAGGUGAGUGGAAUUUCCGGUGUAGCGGUGAAAUGCGUAGAUAUCGGAAGGAACACCUGUGGCGAAAGCGGCUCACUGGACCAUAACUGACGCUGAUGCACGAAAGCUAGGGGAGCAAACAGGAUUAGAUACCCCGGUAGUCCCUGUCUCUUAUAC
rnacentral:rRNA from 1 species